GCACUGGUGGUUCAGUGGUAGAAUGCUCGCCUACCAGGCGGGCGGCCUAGGUUCGAUUCCUGGUCAGUGCU